UGGGGAAUAUUGGACAAUGGGUGGAAGCCUGAUCCAGCCAUGCCGCGUGUGUGAAGAAGGCCUUUUGGUUGUAAAGCACUUUAAGCGAGGAGGAGGCUACUUGGAUUAAUACUCUAGGAUAGUGGACGUUACUCGCAGAAUAAGCACCGGCUAACUCUGUGCCAGCAGCCGCGGUAAUACAGAGGGUGCGAGCGUUAAUCGGAUUUACUGGGCGUAAAGCGUGCGUAGGCGGCUUCUUAAGUCGGAUGUGAAAUCCCUGAGCUUAACUUAGGAAUUGCAUUCGAUACUGGGAAGCUAGAGUAUGGGAGAGGAUGGUAGAAUUCCAGGUGUAGCGGUGAAAUGCGUAGAGAUCUGGAGGAAUACCGAUGGCGAAGGCAGCCAUCUGGCCUAAUACUGACGCUGAGGUACGAAAGCAUGGGGAGCAAACAGG
rnacentral:rRNA from 1 species